rnacentral:rRNA from 1 species
UACGGAGAGUGCAAACGUUGUUCGGAUUCACUGGGCGUAAAGGGCACGUAGGCGGCUCGGCAAAUCGGUCGUGGAAUCCCGACGCUUACCGUCGGAACGGCGGCCGAAAAUACCGGGCUCGAGGGCGUGAGGGGUCACUGGAACUCCUGGUGAAGCGGUGAAAUGCGUAGAUAUCAGGAGGAACGCCGGAGGCGAAAGCGACUCUCUGGACGGUUACUGACGCUGAGGCACGAAAGCGUGGGGAGCAAACAGG